GAGUCAGUUUCCUAGAGAAGCUGUGUCAAGAGGACGAAAAGGCCAGCAUCUGUCAGAACUGAUGCAUUACCUUGGUAUGUCCAAAUUUGUACUGAGUGUGGUCAAUAUCAAUGGAUGCCAGAAGCUUUUCACAGGCUUUCUUGCUGUCAAUGAAUUGUCCCUCAGGGAUUGCACUGGCAUUCAGCACUCGGUAUCUGCAUUGUAGACAUGGAAAUCAUCACAGACUGUUGGCAAAGACACAAACCUUGGAGAACAUGUAGUUCAGGCCUCUCUUCCUAUAGGCAGAAGGCCAAGGUCCCAGGAGAUGAGGGAACUAGCUCGGAGUCACAUUGCUAGAGAGCAGUCUAGAAUCUAGAUCUCUUGACUCUUCAGUCAGAGCUUUUCCUGCCAUUUUGUAUAUCAGAUAAAUUCCAGAGAAAAACAUGGAAGAAACAAAUAUAUAUAACUUGGCCAAAUGGUAGAUUGUUCAGUUUACAUGGAGGUCCAUAUCUGUUCUUUCGAAAUAGGUCUUUUCAUACGAAUCUUUCUCCCUCUCAAAUUCCAGUGUUCGUACAUCUCAUCCCCAAGCAUAUAGAACAUGUUUAUUACACACCUUUGUUUAAAAUCGCCAUAGAGAAUCCUGUUUGGGAACCCUUUCCUGCAGAUGCGGAUGCCCUCCAGGACACCGUUACACCGCAGCUGGUGCAGAACAAGGCUGUGUUCCAUAGCCCCUGGGAACAGAAGCGAGAUAUCAGCCUUACACAGAAUUUCUUAAAAACUGAGCACCACCUAGCGAGCCAGCAGGUGUCUCACCUGGAGUUUUGGUUUCAUUGGGAAUUAUACAACGCACAAAAUGAGGGGCAGAGACAGUUUGGAAGGAAGAACCCUUCUUCUUGGCAACUUUCUUCUUUCCACUGUCAGCUGAAAGCAAUAAGGGAGGGCACGUGCUGUAGGUGAAUCUAAAAGGUUUUUUGUUACUGUGGAACAAAUGGAGGGAAAUCACAUGGACACAAAGCACUCCUCUUACCAUCCGCCGUGGCAAACGUGGC
rnacentral:lncRNA from 1 species